rnacentral:rRNA from 1 species
GACGAACGCUGGCGGCGUGCUUAACACAUGCAAGUCGAACGGAAAGGCCCUGCUUUUGUGGGGUGCUCUAGUUGCGAACGGGUGAGUAACACGUGAGUAACCUGCCCUUGCCUUUGGGAUAACUUCAGGAAACUGGGGCUAAUCCCGGAUAGGAGCUCCUGCUUCUUGGUGGGGGUUGGUAAGUUUCGGCGGUUGGGGAUGGACUCGCGGCUUAUCAGCUUGUUGGUGGGGUAGUGGCUUACCAAGGCUUUGACGGGUAGCCGGCCUGAGAGGGUGACCGGCCACAUUGGGACUGAGAUACGGCGCAGACUCGUACGGGAGGGAGCAGUGGGGAAUAUUGUACAAGGGGCGGGAGCCUGAUGCAGCAACGCCGCGUGCGGGGUGACGGCCUUCGGGUUGUGAACCGCUUUCGCCUGUGACGAAGCGUGAGUGACGGUAAUGGGUAAAGAAGCACCGGCUAACUACGUG